UGCCAGUUCUCUAUCUCAGACCUCAACCAGACUUCGGAUCUAUAGAGUCGAAAUAUCACUAUAUGCAUAGUAAUGUAUUGGAUGCAGAAUAUCGAGUUCAUUUCGAGAAAUAGGACGUCGACUAUGAAUUUGUUCCUCAAGGAGUCAGAUUUAUAGGUCGACAAGAUGGGAUUUGGUUCCAAGGAAUCCCAGUAUUUCUUAGCAGCUGAGCUCAUAUUUCUUUCGGUGCCAGUUUGCUUCGCCGUGGUCUUCCUGUGCCAUUGGAAAACUGGACAACAGGAUCUGUCAAUUUUCUUCACGAAUUAUGUUAUUGAAGAUAUGGUCAACUCCUCAACGUUUGUGGCGAAAAAACCUCUGAUCACACCUUAAACACAGCAUUAGAGGACACUGUGGCUAAGCUGAAGCGGGAUUUAUCCCUCAUUGACUAUACCACUGCUGAGAGCAGAACCCUGGGCACAUCAGAAACGGAAUCUCCUUUUCCUCGAACUCUAGAAGUGCCAUCCUAAGUGACCAGACAUGUCUGUCUGAAGAACAGAAGACAAUGUUUGACGCCGACCAGCAAAUAUACAAUGAGGGAUCUUCGCAUUCAACGUCGAAUGCAGUAAAUGAAGGUCAUGGAGACGCGACCUGGGGCCUUCUUGGAGCUGAAGUUACGGAUCCUUCGCAAUAGCCCGAAGACGAGCAACGCUCAGUUCAAGUCACUCACCCAGGGUGCUCAGGGAUGAAAAGCAAUUGGAAUUAAUGAUGAGACAGGCUCAGUAACUGUGGUACUGAAAUAUGGAAAAAUAUGGUACUGAAGUUUUUGAGCGCUAACUCAGUAUACGGGGCAUUGAUACUUUUAUACGGACGACGACGACGACAUUGAUACGGACGACGAAGUAUUUAACUGUUCUUCAUCCACGACCUUUUUUGAAAAUUCGCCCAAAAUGUGUAUAUCAGUGAAAACAUCAAUGAAUUGAUAUUUACUCUAGUUUCAUCGAUCUAAGACCCGCUGAUUGAUUACUACAAACUCGAAACCAAGGCCAAGCGUGUACAACAUGGUGUCGACAACCCUCUGUCUAUGCAAAGUUAACAUGUUGCAUGGCAUCGAACGACCAUGUGCAUAAUACUCGAUGCAGAACCGGUCUCAGAUAUGUGAAAAAAGUUCACUUUCGAAUUUCAAACGAACGGGCGCCUUCUACUCAGUUUGUUGAAAGAUUUGAAAUUGAACUUCUAUUCAAAAUUUCUAAUUACGUUUCAAAGCCUUCUAGAUGCGAUUCAAAUUUCACUUGCCGAGCUUCCAUCCCAGAAAUAGAGGCUGGCAUCUUGGGCCUUCGUUAUUUCGCCUCUAUGUACUCUUUACCAUCGUAAAACCAGUCAGGCAAGGAUCCCAAACUGCGAGAUGUCACCACAACAAGCAAUACAUUUUCUCUCGACCCCGCCGAUUCGUUUUCCGCCUUGUCUAGGCCAGCUGGGAUCCUGACGGUACUCGCGCUUAUAAUCCGCGUCAUUGCGGGGGAGGCUGAGAUGCUCGACCGUGAUACCAAUGGUCGAUGAUAAAAAGAAAAGCGACCCUUUGCCUCCUUGGACUAUACAGGCGUCUUGCUGACUUCAAGCUCUGACUGAAAGUAAUAUUUAUUUAGAAGGUGUUGAUGGAAAAAGGACAUUUGUAAUAUAUUGAUUCUGAUGUGAUAGUUGAUGUUGGCGAAAAGGUGGCCCGUAGGCACAGGGGUAGGGCAAGCACAAGCGCUGGGAUGUUUUUGUUACUCCUCGUUUGUUUGGGAUUCAGAUGGUGAAAACUACUCGUUUUUGUGAUUCGUGAACAUGAUUCGUGUGGAGUUAGGAUGGUAACUGUUAAAAAGGAUAUCAAAAUAGUUUAGGAAGGAUCUACACGGUGUCUGUCAAUAUCGUAUGAGGUUUUCCUCAUUUGAAGUCUUGCAACAACCGUUAGCAAUAAUCAUUUGGUUCAUUUCUUCGCAUUGUAACGUAAAUGUCAGCAAGUGCGUGGAAUGUUUCUAUAAGGCUAAAUUAUACCGAGUUUUAUUAUAUGCGACCUGUUAGAGUUAUGUUAUUGCCAAAGGCGUUUACAUUUUGAUUCCAGUGACGGUUCAAAAUUCGCCUUAUCCUGCCUGAUAUGCCUAGUUUUACUUCAUUUUAAAUUGGAUUGGUUUCUUUAUUUUUGUUCUGUUGUUUUAUUAAUUUCUUCUUCAUGAAAAUCGCCAAUGUGCGCCUCGAUUAUUAAAUAAUGGUAAUAUUAAGCCAAGUGACUGUUCCUGGUUUAUGGCCUUUGAAGGAAGAAGUUUCUAGCAUAAUUUGCAGAACCAUCGCAAAGUAACCGAUUAUUGAACGCUGAACGAUGACAAUACCUUAUUUACUUGGGUAAGACACGUUGCUCUUGCACACUAAUGUCGGGAACAUUACAAAGAGGAACUUUGAGUUGAGUUAUAAUCCUUUUUUUAAAAAUAACACAGCCUUCUUUGAAAACGCA